UACAAGUCCCCAAACCUUUUACCGCCAUCAAAAUAUUCAGGAAUGUAUGAUAGAUGACGAAGAUUUUCGGAAAAACUUUGCUGCUUGUAAAUUUCUGAGGUAUACUCCAUUGUGAAGUAUAUCUCCCCCGCAGCCCAACGGGCAAGGUCAUUGAUAAGAUCGUGCAUCACAAAUCGUGAUGUAUUGUUGCUUAAUUGCUGGAAAAAAGAUCUUGAACGUAGCUCUUGAAAGAACUUUCGACCUAGAACUUCGUUAGGAUUCCCACUCUCUUUAUGAACCAAGAAACCCGAAGCACUCCAUAAUAAAAUUAUCUCCUCCUCUUCAAAUUCAUAAUCCUUCGGAAACAACGAGCAGUAUGCAAAGCAUUGUUUCAAAAUUGGAGGAAGAUAAUAAUAGCUCACUGCAAGAGCUGGUAUAAUGGGACAUCUAUCUUCUGGUAAUUCCCAUAUCUUGCUACUGAGCACAUCUUCCCACACACCUCUGUCAUGUUCUCCACAUAAAAGUCCUCCCAGUGUUUUUGCUGCCAAGGGCAAGCCAUUGCAUUUGAUCACUAUCUUCUUACCAAUGUCCUCCAAUGACUUGUGUGAACUGAAAUCUCUUGUCCCCAAAGAGUGCUGAGCAAACACAGACAGACAAUCCUCAGUUGACAAGUUUUUCAAUUCAUAAGCUUGAUCCGGCCUCAUGAUUUUUGCAACCUGUUGAUUGCGAGUAGUGACAACAAUCUUACUUCCCUGUGCGCCAGCUUCAAACGGACGGCUCAUGUCAACCCAGUCAUUGUAAUUCUCAUUCCAAACGUCGUCUAAAACGAGCAAAAAUUUCUUUUGAGAUAACUUCUUCUUCAGCUCCUCUUGAAGCAAAUUUAAAUCACUGUCAUCAAUAGUCUGCUUGGUAAUGGAUCUUAGAAUUGUUUUUGUUAGCCCCUUAACGUCGAAAUCCUCAGAGACACAAGUCCAUGCCUUGAGAUCAAAAUGAUCCUGCACUCGCUUAUCAUUGUAGACAAGCUGAGCAAGAGUGGUUUUGCCCAGGCCGCCCAUACCUAUAAUAGGAAUAACAGAGAAUCCACCAUCGUUGCUUAAAUCAUCCCUCAACAGCAGUUCAACAACAUCCUUCUUUUCUGUUUCCCUGCCAUAUACUUUGGCUUCAGUCACUAAAGAGGUUGUCUCCAGCCUUUGACUGGCUUUGUUGGACCCUCCAGCUGAACUUUCUUUCAAAUCUAGCAAGUUUUUCUGUGUCACAAUUUCUUGAAAUCUGCUGUUGAUCUCUUUGAUUUUGGACAUCAAGCCAUAAUCGAACUGAAUCGAUUGUGGAGUAAAAGUGGUGCAGCAAGCAGGAAUGAGCUUCCGAAACUUACUUGUUCUGGCACGACUGCUACUGGGUUGAUCAUGAGCAGCAGCUGGUUCUCCAUUUCCAAGCAGCAACAUCCUCCGGAAAGCCUCAGUUUGAAACUCAUCCAACAAGUCUUCAACAUCAUAAGCCAAGUUCUGAAGCUUGCCAAGCCACUUCUUCACAGACCGAUUAGUUGUCUUCUUCUCCUCAGCAUCAUCAAGCACCGCCUUGAUCAUCUCCAACAUAUUCUCCCACUUCAUUAGAUAGUCUUGGAUCUUCUCUUGGCGUGCAAAAAACAGAAUCCCCUCUGAAGCUAACUUAUUGACCAGCAAAUCAACAGAUGCCGUAAGGAUUGCCUCUCCGAUGAUCGACAUUUUUUUUCUUUUUUUUGGGCAAAGGAAGAAAGGAGCAGAAUUAUGGGUUAUGGAAAGCAGAAUGAGAAUAUUGAACGGGUGAGAAAAUGGAUAAUUAAGCGGAAUGAGUUUGUGAUUGUGAAGGGUCUGGUACAGCAAGCUUAGUAGAAAUCACGCGUUUGUACUUUAUUGACCAAUGACUAAAUAAUUUGGCAAUGCACCCACCACCACCACUUGGUGAGCAAAAUGAAAAAGUUUAAUAAGUGGAGGGGUCCAGCAAAAUACGACGUAAAAUGUGGCAAGUCUCCCCACUUGUUGUUCGUUGCAGCUAAGAAAAGAAAAAACAGAGCCCACCACCCAUUAAUAAUUUAGCAAAUCACCAAUCAUCACAAAAUUCCAUUAGAUAUUCGUCGAUCAAGUAGUUAAUCCAGUGUCUGCUACGUAGAGCCUUCACUUUACAAAUCUUCAACUCAUAAACCAAGUUAAAUCAAGACGUUUCUCUCUCUGUAUAUAUUUUUUUUAACUCCUAAAACGUUUCUUUUUAGAAAUAUAUUACUUUAUUCAUCUAAUAUGUUAUCUAACAAAUAGACACAGAUGAAAUCACUCUAAAGUGAAGAUGAAAGGGGAAAAAAAAAACAUUCCAACCACCAAUAAUUUAGCAAGCGUCACUUUUAUUCCACCAAAGUGUAAAUAAAGCCAGCCCCCACCACCAUCGAUAAUUUUGCAAGCUUCACACGCUUGUUGUCUUCUCCUUGACGAACUGGACGGGGUGGACCAAGAAUCAAUGAAAGAAUUUUAAAAAUAAUAAUAAAAGAAAAACAUAAACAUUUUGGACUCAGAGUAGAACCGUAAUUAAUGCUAAAAUUUACUCCGCUAACGUUUUCAAAAUAUUGUUCUUUACAAUUGUACAGCAAAUAAGACUAAGUUUUGGACAUUUUCAUAUUCACUUACUUUCAAAAGCAGUAUUUCGAAACAUUUUACAGAAUCAAGUAACAGUUAUAUAACGAGAAAAGUGCAAAGUUGUGUAAUUCUAAUGUUUAUUUUAUCACUGACACUCAGAUCAUUUUUUAUUUGGGUCGCCAACUCGCCAAUGAACCCAUGAUUGAAUAAGUGUUUAGAAAGAAAAUCAAUAAAAAACAGUUUUUUUUUUGUCGUCGAAAUAUAGUAAGUGAGAAAGAUUAUUCUGUUUUUUUUGUUAAUUAGGUUAGUAAUUAUGAUUGAGUGACUCAGAACUAUAUUCUAGAUUGAGAAUCAAUGGUUCUCCCACACUGAGAGGCUGUAAGUUUAAGAUUGUCGUUUGCUAUUUCAUCAACAAGAGAACACUUGAAUUUAUUAAAAAGAGAAGGCCAUAAAAGUUUUCUUUUAUGAGAAAUGUAUCUGAUCAUUCCUUUUUACUUGAAAAUUUCAUAUAUAAAAACUCAUUAAUAAAUGACAGAAUAUACAUAAAUUAUUAAUUCAUUUGAUAGUUGAUUAUCGAAGGACAUGUGACCCAUGGGAGCAUGCAGACUAUAAAAUAAUUCUUUUUUUUAUUAAACAAAAAAUCGGUGAUGUUGAAAAGCAAUAUUAAUUCGACUGAUAAUUGGGGUGAACAUUCAUAAAAAGAAUGCCGUAUGAAACUAAAUUAUUAAUUCGUUUGACAUGUGACCCACAAUAAAUAGUUAAAUUUGGCGGCAACAAUAAUUACAAGACGAACUUAAAGCAGCGCAUAGGUUUUUCUUAAAAAUACAUAAACAAUUCGAUAUUUGAAAUUCUAAUAUCUCAAUAAUCUAGUUAUCCUGUAUUUAGAUCCACAUACAAUUUCUUUUUUUCUUUUUUCUGAUUUCCAAUCGUUACCAAAAGAAAAUAUUUAGUGAUCCCUUUUAUCAACUUGGUUUUAUUGACUUUCUUCCAAUCAUAGAAGUGAAAAGAGAAACAGAGGCCAGCACCAAUAAGUGUUGUGUUACCAGAUUCUGUAAAGACAAAAUCAGUGCCCAGCAAAAAGAAGCAAUGUUUUCGUUAUAUGCUGCUUCCUAUUUAGUACAUGCAUAUAAAGAUAUGCACGUGCACAUGCAGCACAUCUAUCUAAAAUUUAAAAAAAGUAAUUAGAAAUACAGGAAUUAUGGUAGAAAUAUAACAGGAAUAAGAGUGAAAUUACAAUUUUAAAAUUUGGGAGAAAUGAAAUGCGAUAUUUUUUUUAUGAAUAAAAUAAUUUAAUUUUUUUUAAUUCUACCAGCAAAAACCAUUAACUUAUCAAGUUAUUGGUUUCAUUCACAGUUAACAGUCGGUUUCUUAGUUUCAUUCCUUAAUUCUACAAGAAAAAAACAGAAUACUUGACAUUUACUAUUUGACAAUUUUUAAGAAAUGUCAAGCAUAUAUGACAUUUUGUGAAAAACUGAGUAAUUGUGAAAUAUAAAUGACAAUUUAUUUAAACGUCAAAUAAUUGUGACGUUUUAUCAAAUAAAUGAUAAAUAUAUUACAUAUUUAUUAAAUAAUUAUCAUUUACCUUUUCCUUUUAUUGACUUGAGAAAAAAACAAAAACAUUGACUAUACUGCUUUUGUUUUCGUUCUUAGAACAGAUUUUAGUUUCUUUUGAGAAAAUUCAAACUCAUUCCCAUUACUUUCUUUUCAAUAAUCACCUCUCAGUUUUUCAUCAAUCACUCAAUACCGAAUUACAUCUCCAUUCUCUUUCGAAGAAGAACGCACGAAGAAUUUUAGCUUGCUUUCGCUGCUUCUCGAAUAUUGGGUAUUGUUUCCUUUAAUUUAGAUAAUUUUUUUUUUUAUAUCUCUCUUUCUAGUUUGAUAAUUUAUGGUUAUACUUGAAUUAAUUGUAUUUUUAAUCAACCAAGGUUGAUUUAAUUGAUUCCAAGUCUCAAUUUCCUGUUCAACAAACAAGGAACGCACAAAUAAUUUUCAUUUUCAUACUCAAUUUUGAAAGAAUCAAUUUAUUUUAUCUUUGGUUAGUACACUUCUGUUCAAUUUUUGUUUAUUUAACUUAAGAUAUCUUUUUCUUUCUUUUCUUCAAGCAGAUUAUAGAUUAUAUUGAGAACAGAGCUUUCUCCUUAAUUCCGCCAAGAGCAACGUUGAUUUCAGGUGAUAAUUGAAUGUGUAAUAUUUUCAAUUGAAAUUAAUUGAGUCUCGUAAUAAUAAUAGGGAUUUGAGAUUUACAUCCUGUUGAAAUGAUUUUAGAGUGUUUUGCUAUUUGAAUGCGUAUUAAUUGUUCCUCUGUUUCAAAUCCAAAUCCACUGGUCUACUAUUCAUUAUGACAAUGCAUAUGCCGAUAUUGUCUUCCAUCCUUUGUGUACCUUUCAAUUUAGUGAGGUUUAGACAGGGGUUCCAGAUUUGGUAAAUCAACAAUCACCAGAUAUGUAGAGCGGCCGGAAGAGGAAGCAUGGUUCCUAAUCCUAAUCUUGAUUUAGAGCAGAUUAGGUAACAUGUGACAUUCUACAUUCUUGCAAUGCCAUUUCUUGUUAUGGCAGCGGCAUUCUUGGUCAUGGCAUCACAAGCAAAUGCUUUGAUUUGAAGACUUGCUUGGCUAUGAAAAAUAAGGAGAGCAAAGGUAAUUAAUCUUGGUGUGAUCAACAUUUUUAUGGGGGUACUAAGAAAAAUAAAGAUAAUAUAAGGAAUGUUGUUGAGGAGUAUUUUCAUAUUUACACAAGUAUUCAAAGUAAAAAUUGAUUUCUUAAAACCCAUUAGCUAGCGCACAUAAUAAUGGGGAGAAAAUUUUAGACUACGAAUGGUCCCGCCCAUUUAAUAAUAUUCUUCAAUCAAUUAUGUUUACUUCAAAAAAAAAAAAACCUAUCUCUUUAUUACUUUCUAACUAUUCAUAUUAAUGUGUUAAUAAUUAUGAAGAACCGGUGUAAUUUAUAUGAUGUAGGAAGCACUUUAGGCAAAAUCAUUUGAAUCUCAAAAUUUCGUGAUAUUGUGCCAAAUAUCGAAAACAGAGCUUCCUAUCACAGAAAUUAGGAAUCACUGGAGAGUAGAGUUACGUGACUGAAUAGUAUCAUAUCACAGAAACUCAAAACUCAAAAGUGCAAUAACAUUGAACAUUCAGCUGGCUAGCUUAUAUUGAUUAAUUAAUACUACUACUAGUUCUUUAUGAUUAAUUAAAAGAUAAAAUAUUUGACAAUCACGAAACAUUAUUCCAUCACUGAAGAGUAGAGCUUCCUACAUUGUUACCCAAGCUCUUUUAUAUCUCCCAAACAUUAUUAGAGUCCCACAUUUGUGGGCACAUCAUUAAGUAAAAUGUGCCAAUUAGGAAGAACUGGCUUCUUUGUUUUGUUUUCUGGGAUGUGUUGCAAUUUUCAAGUAUCAUUCAAAAUUUUACACCAUCAACACAGGAAAAUUAUAUAUAUUCUGUCAGCACUUGCAUAUGUUGCAAGUGCUGACAGAACUUUUCAUUUGAUUUGAUAAUUGGCUAAGGGUGAUUUCGAUAACGUUUCCAAAGAAGACAUAGAACAAAGAUCAAAAAGAAAAAUAAGUAAUUUGAUCAGUCGAUGCAAAAAAUGAGCGAGCUUCGUAGUCUGACUAACAGGAAAUGGCUUGGAGCAAGGAUCAAUGGACAAGUUUGAGGUUUAUGAAUAAACAGAACAGAGGAAAUAAGUGAUCAAUUUAUUACUUCGUGCAAUGGCCACAGCAACAGCGAAAAUAUGUCUACAUGACUACAUUAUCCGACUGGCAUGGUACUAUAACCGUGCAGCAUUACACUAACAUUUCCUUAUCAAUCAAUUUUGAUGGUAUGAUAUUAAAAACAUAGAUUUCAUAAUUUUAUGUAAUUCAAAGAAAAGAUAUAAUUGAUUUGAGUUAGUUUAACAUAUAAGGAAAGAGUAAUGGGGAAUGAUGUUGAUGUGGCAUGUGAUGAGUAAAGAUAGACAACAAAUAUUGAUCGUGUAAUAAUGAAAUAUGUAUUUAUUGAAAAUAAAUUGACAAUUAAAAUUAAUAGAUAUAUAUCCAAUGCAUCGAGUUUAUUUUAUCACUUCGCUAACCAUUUUGUAACUACAUGUUAAUUAGAAGUUCAAUUAAUUUUGACCAAAGACUCUAGAGAAUGUCGAAAAGAGAUUUGAUUUUUGUCUUAAAAAAAAUUAGAAAUGAAAUAAGUCAAAAUCAAUCACAAGAACAACAACAAGAGCAUAUUUUAUAAAACCACAAAUACAUAAUAUAAAUUUAGUUUCGAAUUAGAUAAUUAUUAAUUUGUAUUGUAAGAGAGUCUUAUAGAAAAAUAGGAAUUUUUUAAAAGGAGAUUUGCUUAAGGAACAACUUUAGUUAAUGGAAGGAAAUACAAGUUUGAUUUUGACAAAGUAAUCACUAAAAUAUUUGACAAGUUUGAGAUGUUAAAAAACUGGAAAAAUAGACAAAUAAUGAAAACCCUACAAGUUGGCAAAGCGAAUAAACAGAGGAAAACAGAGCAAAUAUUUACCGUUAUACAUAUAUUUUUUUAUUUUUUUCCGAAAAAGAAUGUUGCGAUAUUUUUUCCCAAAAAGAAGCACAGUUUGAUAUUACUACCAAAGAACUUUAGCUACCAUAUAUAAGCACGUGUCUAAUUACCAAAUGAAUUCCGCUAUAACAAAGAAUAAAAGCUAAUUUCAUUGAUGGCAUAUGUCGUGCUUUCUUUUCUUUUAUUUUAUUGAAGUUACUUUGUAAACUGCUCCAAGCUAAAUACAAAAUUUACUCUUACACUAGGAUCUUUGCAAUGGUCCAGCAAUUUGUAUUUCCAUUCGGUGAGGUUGGUUUUUUUCUUUAAAGUUGGGAAGUCCAUGUUUGCCAUCAAGAGUACGAUUAAAGAAGAGAUGUUACAAUACACAAAAAGGAAAAAAAAUGCCCAAGGAAGCUUGGGACACUUUUGCAAUGAUUUUUUUUCAAUGAAGAAUAACACACAACUACAACUUUUGGACAAUGAGUUACAGUCAAUUUCACAGCAAAGCAACUUCAAUAACCGCAAAAUUUUUGGGUUAGAUCCUACUGUUGCAAUUUCUGAAUCCAGAAUGAAGAGAAUUAUUAUCCAUAGCUUGGUCAUAUACAAUAUGUGUGUGCGUGUGUGUAUGUGUGUGUAUUGGGAUGUCACAGGCCCUAAAAGAUACAGCUGAACAUCAAUCCUAAAUCUAAAGUGAAAAACAGUAGCUAGAACAUAAUCUUUGUUUUGAUGUCUUUGUUUAUAAGCUCAAACAAUUGACAGUAUAGAAAAUGCAUGAUAGAACAUAGAACUCAUAUUUUAGCAAUAAUCCUAAGCUCACUGGCCCUUAGUUCAAACUGGCAGUUCUUAUUAGUCAAAGAAUCAAAUUGACUUUUAGUUGUAUAUAAGUAGAGCACUAGAUCAACAAAUAAUUGAAGACUUGCUUGGCUGUGGAACCAUAGGAAGGCAAUUCGUGAACAGCCUUGAUAUUUCAUUUGGUUUUAUUUAAUUCUUUGUAAAGUCGUAUUGUAUGUAAAAUUUUUGUUAAAUGAAAUCGGUAUGUGAAGAGAAUUUUUAAAAGCAACCAUCAAAGUCACGAUCAAAGGGACGAAAUCAGUAUAAAUAUUGAUUGUCUCAAGUUAGAUUAUACAAAGAUGAAAUAAUUCUAAUCUAGAAAAUUCGAUCAUUAUAAUUUGAUUUCCAUUAUAUUAAUUAUGUUCAAUCUUGCUAUUUUAAUGAAGAACACUCGAGGAUUUAUAUACACUCAGCUUAUGAAAUUAAUUACAAAACGAUCUUUGACCAAGUCUGAUGAAAAGAUCAUAUUAUAAGUGCAAAGUUACACUUCCCGAUCAUGCAACUAUCCAUCGAAUUGUGUAUUGUGUUAUCGUUGAGCUCUUAGGAAGAUUCAGCUGCUGAGGAGAAGAUGUAAUCUGUUUUUAUGUGACAAGCCAUGUACUCUGCUUUUAUGGUGUUUCUCUUGGUAGUUUUGGACAAAACUGUAAUGUAAAUUUCUAUCUUAAGGGAUUCCUAAUCCUUUUAGUUAGUUUGGGAUUGUUGAUUUAUCUAUGAUGUUUGGUAUCCAAAAUUCAGGUGAUGAUAAUCUUCGCAGUACUUUUGUCAAAUUUUCUUUUAUGUUGGUGUUGUUUUAAUUAAAUAUCACAAAGGUGCAAAAUGCGGUAAAAUUAACAUUGAGCUCAUGAGAUUGCCAUUAGAUAUAUUGAAAAAGAAAUUGAUACAAGAAACUGAAAAUUAGUUGUUAAUUAUGAUGGGAAUAUAAUCUUUGAAUUAUAAUUAUAUCUAUCUAACGCAUGUGCACUAAUCUUAUUUAUCUCUAUCACUGAAAAAGCAGAGUGGCCUGAUUGAAUAGUAUCAUAUUAUGUCACAGCAAUCACAAAAACUCACUCAACAUUAUGCUAAUUUAUACUAAUUAAUUAAUACGACUAACAGGAAAAGUUGGAUCUCGCCUUGCUAAAAAUCAGGUGAUUGUUUUUCAUUUUUGCGGCUACUUGACUCAAUUAUGUUAUUGCAAGAGGAGAUUUCUAUUUUGUCCGGUUUAAGCCAUAAGAUGGGUUUUAAGAUUCAUUCUGAUUGGUUAUCUGUUAGCUUUUUGUUUUAAGAACUUCUUAUUUACGAAAGCCAAAUUCUUCUUUCUAGGUUUAUUCAUAUUCAGAAGUUGCUUUUGUCAUAUCAGAAGAAGAGGCUAAGACUGUUGAAGUACUAGAAGGGACUACUGCGCUGAUUGCCUUUUUCAUGGGCUUCUAAUAUCCAAUGUUGAUUAUCUCUUCCAUUUGAACAUGAGAGUAAAAAGAUAGUUGAUAUUUAUGUUACAAAAGUUGGAAGCGACUUAAGCAAUUCAGUAUCAUGCGAGGACUAUAAUAAUAACCCCGAUUAUUUUGCCUCUUGGAUUUUUUUGUUAAUUCACUUGCUUUAUGCUUAUCCGACCUCUGAUUUUUUCUUAAUAUUUCUUUGUAGUUCACUUCACAGCACUUAUAGCCGCUGCAUUGGCAUUUUCUGCUAUUUGUUAUUGUUCAUUGAAGCUAGUUAGUUUACGAAAUUUCUUUUUGAUAAAUCUUCUUCAGAGGGUUGUGAGAGGCCAAAUCAAUUGAGAUGACCGGGUUUUCUAGAUCAGCCAUCUUUGUCGUCAACAGUGCUAAACUGUCAAUUACUGAGACACCAAACUCUAACCCGAUUCAUAUGGAUGUAGACUAAAGCUUCUUGCCGAUACCAUCCCAGUCAAAGCUGCUAUCUUUGAAAGUUUCGCAAGACAAAACAACGUUGGUUUCCCAGUCGACACAAAUACAGAUUUCAUAUGUGCAGAUUGCUCUCAAUCUCUGUUUAAUAAGCUAGUCCUCUGCUGUAUCCUAGAAGGUGGAACAAUACAUUAUGCUUCCCAGCAGGCUCCAAUGGGAUCUAUAUAUGUUUCUGCUGCCAAAUUUUUGAAAGCGAUCAUUGUGAAUAUCGCUGCCCAGUCUGAAGUGGGCUUUGAUACUUGUGACAAUACUCCAUCGAGGCUGUAAAGAAGCCGUGGGUGUACAUUUCUGGUCCAACAAUCAAUCUAACUGGCUUACUUUACAGCAACAAAGAGAUAGAAAAUAUAUUAACUGCUUGUGCAGAAUAUGGAGCAAGAGCUUAUUUAGUGUCGUGUCAAAAUAAAUAUAACAAAGUUUAAGCUGAAUAUAAAUUGUUAAUUACAGGCAGAGCAAGUUGAGUUUAAAAAAUGCGAAGCACCCAGUCCCAAAACAGAGAAGCUUGACGUUGGCCGGCAGGAUUAAUAUUAUUUUUUUUAACAACAAUCAAAGCCAGUCGGGAAUUUAUUAAGAGGUUAAUUAGUUGAAGUAUAAAAAAGGAAUUAGCAGGAUUCACGCCCGACCAAAUCCACAUGGCCAAAGCAAAGGAUUAAGUUUGAGAGAUUAUAAUGAAAUAUAAGUAAGCUUCGCACAUGCAUGCGUCUGACUGACAGAACAAAUGAAGGAAACAUAAACUUAUCAUUUUUAAGAUGUAAGCAUCAAAACAUUCGACAAGUUUGAGGUUCGUGAGAUAUUGGGAAAAUAUACAAAUAAUAAAGCCACUACAAGUUAAGCAGAGCAAAUAAACAGAGGAAAUAACUGAUCAAUUUAGUUCUUUGUGCAAUGGCCACAGCAACAGAGAAAAUAUGCCUACACGACUACAUUAAUCCUACUGGCGUGGUACUAUCACCAUGCAAAUUAACAUUAACAUUUCAUCAUCAAUCAGUUCUGAUGACAUGAUAUCAAAAACAUUGAUUUCAUAAUUUUAUGUAAUUUCAUAUAAAAGAUAUAUAUAGUUUAUUUGAGUUAGUUUAAAAUAUGAAGAAAGAGUAAUGGGGAAUGAUAUCGCUGUAGCGUGUGAUGAGUAAUGAUAGACACCAAAUAUGGAUCAUGUAAUUAUGAUAUAUGUAUUUACUGAAACAUAUUUGGCAAUAAAAUGAUGCUUUAAAAAUUUAAUAUUGUUUGCUUGAAAAUAAUUUGACAAUUAAAAGUAAAAGAUGUAUAUGCAAAACUUUGACCUUAUUUUAUCACUUCACUAACCAUUUUGUAAGUACAUCUUAAAUCGAAGUUCAAUUAAUGCUGACGAAAGACUCCAGAGAAUGUCGAGAAGAGAUUUGAUUUUGGUAUACCAAAAAAUUACAGAUGAGAUAAGUUAAAAUCAAUUACAAGAACAACAAAAAGAAUAUAUUUUAUAAAAGCCACAAAUACAUAUAAUAUAUAAUCAGUUUCGAAUUAAGUAAUUAUUAACUUAUAUAGUGAGAAAGUGUUAUAGGAAAGUUGGAAUUUUUUAAAAGAGAUUUGCAAAGGAAAAAGUUUAGUUUAGUUUAGUUUGCGAAGGCUCAAGUAAUUCAAAGCAAUUAGCAAUGCAAUUGAAGGAAAUAUAAACUUCUAAUUUUUACAAAGUAAUCGCUAAAAUAUUUGACAAGUUUGAGAUUUUCAAAAAGCUGAAAAAAAUAGACAAAUAAUGGAGACCCUACAGAUUGGUAGCGCAAAUAAACGGAGGAAAAUAUGGCAAACAUUUAUUUUUUCCAAAAAGAAUAAAAGCACGUGUCUAAUUACCAAAUAACUUCACUUUAAAAAAUAAUAAAUGCUAAUAUCAUUGUUAGCACAUGUUGUGCAUUUUUCAUUUAUUUAUUUGCUAUUACUUAUUGAAGUUACUUUGCAAACUGCUCCAAGCAAACUACAAAAUUUCUUAUCACUCUAGGAUCUUUGCAAUGGUCCUGCAAUUUGCCUUCCUUUCUAUUAGGUUAGCUGUUUAUUCAAAAGAAAAAAAAUUGGGGAAAUGGAAACCUCACCCUCUUAAUACAGAUUUUGAAUUUUAUUAUUAUUAUUCAAAAUUAGAUAACUAUGCAAAUAAUGGGCGGUUAUAACCAGUGAAACUGUGUCUAGCUACGACGCAGGUUUAAUUUUCUCUUGAUUAAAUAUAUAAACAAAACUAAAUCACCUGAGCCUCUGGUUUCACUAUUUUUCAACUUGAAAUUAAAACGCAAAAAUUGAUGGUAUUGGAGUUCGUUGUUUAGUUUUGCUGUAGGUCAUGGGGAAUCAAAUAGCCAUCCAUUUUUAAGUCUAUUUUAUGUACUAUUGGUCACUAAGUAUUGGGAUGUCAUAGGCCCUAAAAGAAAAAGCUGAAAAUCAAUCCCCUAUCUAAAGUGGAAAACAGUAGCUAGAACAGAAUCUAUGGUUUGAUGUCUUAGUGUAUAGGCUUAAACAAUUAAUAGUAUAGAAAAUGCAUGAUAGAAUUCAUAUUUUAGCAAUAAUCCUCACCUCACUGGCCGUUAGUUCAGAAUGACAAUUCUUAUUAGUCAAAGAAUCAAGAUGAUUUUUAGUUGUAUAUGAAUAGCGCAGUAGAUCAACAAAUAAUUGAAGACUUGCUUUUGCUAUUGAACCACGCGAUGGCAAUUCGAAGACUACAGCUUAGCUCUGCCAUUCGAAGUAAGCAAAUCAGCUGCCCAAAGACUGCCAAGCCAUCAAGACAAUACCAAGAUACAACAUCAAGAAUUACAUACAGGCCGUCACAUAUUACAUUUCUCCUCUGUUUUAAGAGAGAUUUACGAGCCCAUGCAGUAGAAGUAAUUAAUUAAUUUAUACAGUUCAGUACUCAUUCCUCCUCUGUUUCAAAUCCAAAUCCACUGCUCUGCCAUUUAUUAUGACGCAGGGUAUAUGGGUUAGCAAGUGUCGAUAUUGUCCUUCAUCCUUUGUGUACCUUUCUUCUAACAAGGGACAGCACGAGAUCUCUAAUCACAAAAGAGAGGCAGGCAGGCCGUUCGCUGGAAAGUACUUGAGCUUGGGACAAUUACAGAGUUUCAAUGAAAUGAGGUUUUGAUGAUCAACAAUUGAAGAAGACAGGCGUUCCAAAUUUGGUAAAUCAACAAUCACCAAAUAUGCUAGAGUGGCAGGAAGAGGAAGCGUGGCUCCUAAUCCUAAUCUUGAUUUAGUAUUGCGUAUGUAACAUGUGGCAUUCUACAUUCUUGCAAUGCCAUUUCUUGUUAUGGCAGUAGCGUUCUUUCACCAUGGCAUCGCAAGCAAAUAUUUGACUUGAAGACUUGCUUUGCCAAGAAAAAUAAGGAGAGCAAAGGUAAUUGAUUUUGGUGUGAUGAAUAUUUUUAUGGGUGUUCUAAGAAAAAUAAAGAUAAUAGAAGUAAUGUUAUCGAGGAGUAUUUUGAUAUUUACAAAAGUGUUCAAAGAAAAAAGUGAUUUUUUGAAAUCUAUUUGCUGGUGAACAUAAUAAAAUGGCAUUCCGACUUCUGCGUAAAUUUAAAACUACAAAUAGUUUUACUCUUUUAAUAAUAUUCUUCAAUUAAUUCUGUUUCUUUCACAAUAAAAAAUCCAUCUCUUUAUUACUUUCUAACUAGUCAUACUAAUGUGUUAAUAAUGAAGAACCAGCGUAAUUUAUAUGAUAUAAGAAGCCCUUUAGCACAUUAACCCGAAUUUAGCUAAUGCAUGUGCCUAAUAUAGCGAAAUCAACAUUCGGCUCAUUAGAAUGCCAUUAUAUAUACUGAAAAAGAAAUUAAUACAAAAAAAAACUGAAUAUUAAUUGACACUGGAUCAUGUUGGAUUGUUAGUUGUUAAUUAUGAUGGGAAUACAAUUUUCAUCUUUUGAUUAUCCGCUAACUAAUGCAUGUGCACUUUCAUUUGUGUCUAUAUAUACAAAAACUUGUAUCCCAUGGUUUACAUAUGUAUGAAGAUAAUGUAAUAAAGUGCUUUUGAUAAAUUCCCCUGGUCUGUUUACUUCACUAAUUCAUUAAUGUGCAAGUCCUCUAUAGAGCUGUGUUGUGCGUACAAGUUUUGCUACAUGAAAUCGUUAGGUGAGGAGAAUUUUUAAAAGCAUACAUCAAAGUAAUGAUUAAAGGGACAAAAUCAACAUAAAUAUUGAUUAUCUUGAGUUAGAUUACACAAAGAUGAUAAUGUAGUAAAUUUAUCAUAAUACACUACUAAAAAAUGCAUUUUAAUGACACAAAUUUUAUGACAUACAUCUUUAUGUCAUGAAAAUACUUGCAUGAUGUAUAAUGCUUCUGUGAUUAUUUGAUGAUAAAUUCAUAAUUGAUGCAGAUACAAAAUGAAGUGAUGAUAGGUAAAUAUCAUGUGAUUUUUUUUAUGGGUAAGAAUAUUUGAACCCACCAAAUUACUCUUUAAACUUACUUUUUUAUUGAUAAUUUUAUUACAAAAUUACUGANNNNNNNNNNNNNNNNNNNNNNNNNNNNNNNNNNNNNNNNNNNNNNNNNNNNNNNNNNNNNNNNNNNNNNNNNNNNNNNNNNNNNNNNNNNNNNNNNNNNNNNNNNNNNNNNNNNNNNNNNNCCGCAAAACUCAAUCAAAGUAUGCUUAUUUUCUUCUUCUGCACAAGUGUAGCAAAGUUUUUAAUAAGUUCCUCCUUCAUCCACAGUUGAGAACUUUCUAACUUUUGUUUCUUGUUCUAGUAAUUUGGAUAUGCUGUGUUAGAUACUGAAUUUAUUAAAUUUCUUCUUCUCUUUUGAAUAAAAUCUCUUUAAAAUUCAAUCCAUAAAAAAAAAAUUAAUCUCCUUAUAAUUUAAUAUGUUUCGGCUGUCUUAGUGGAAUGAUGCAAUUUGUGUCAAUCAAAGUUUUGAAGCAUCCUAAAUUAUAUAUUUUUUUGUUUAAUUUGUUUAGAGUUCAAUUGUUUAGAUCUAGGCUAAUUUUUAUUGAUAAUAUUUAUGAUUAAAUUAUAUGAGUAUGCUUAAAUUUUUUUUUCCUUCAAAUUUAUUUUCUGAUGUUGCAUUUGGUUAGCAAAAAGAUAAAAAUAGUAGAAAAUGUCCGAAUUAUUGUUAUGAAAAUGUUGUUUUAGUCUGAUAUUGGGAAAAUAUCCUUAUACAUAUCGGCAUGAUAUUCAUGGGAGACCAAAUUGAGAAUGAUGGCAGACUAUGCAUUGCUCACAACUAAUUUAAAACUCACUAUUUCUAUUGUUUGUGUUUUAGUAACUUUGGGGGAAUUCCAACUAUAGUUAAUAAGCUAUAAACUUGUUUAGGAUUACUAAUCAACUUGCUAGAAAGAGUUGCAAACUAAUUAGCUUUCUCUUAUAACUUUUACAGAUCAUCUGUGGAGGAGAACUGCAAGGAGUUGAAGACUCUAGACCCUAAACUUCAUAUCUUGAUUUAUAAGUGCAAUGGCCAUAAGUCCGAAUUAUGGGCUGGAGAUGGUAUAUGUAAUCUUUCUGCUCUUGGUGUUUUUUUUUUUUUCCCCUCUAGUUAUUUUUUGCUCUCUACUCCAUUGUAUAUUUGUAUUCAAAAGUAUUUUUUUCUUUGUUUUAAGCUUUCAAAUUUAUGGAGAUGAUCUUAUUAGGUGUUAAAAAAAUAGUUGUAGAGCUUUACUAAAACUAUGUAAACUCUUAUUGAGAUUUGGGUUUGAUUUUGUAAGAUUGCUAAAAAUUUCAUAUUUUAUACUUGUUUUAUACUUUUCUAGUCGAAUUUCUUGCUUGUGGAAGAUAAAAUAAAAGUCCAAUUCAUGUUGUAAAAUUUUUUUUUCCUCCCUUUUUUCUUCCCUUAUAAUCUGGCUCUGGUUUUGGUGCAGUUUAUGGUUUCAAUGCAGGGAACCAAUUUCAUCAGAAUCAUCUUAAAGGAUCAAAGUGGCUUCCUUUUGUAACUGGGUAAGUCAAUGCUACUUCCUGAAUUCGAUUUGGAGUUCUUUCGGAAUAGAUUUCCUUCCCUUACAUCACUUGGCUUCUAGUUGCAUCUUCUUGGCUUUCUCCAACGGACUUUUUUAUUGGCAAAUUCGUUUGUUUCUAUUGUUUUCAAGUGCUAGUGCUGGAUUUGGAGGUAUGAAUGGUGCCUUCAUUUUUAUUUUUUUAAUUUUCUUUUGGGUGUAUAGUACUGUAAUAUACUUCUUUGUAUAGCUAGUACAAAAUAGUUCUUUAAUUUUAUUUGUCAUGAUUUAUUUCUAUUGCCUGGUGAUGACACCCAUCACGACUUAGUAGUCGUGAAUAAAUCGAAAAUCAAAUUGCACUGGUUUUUACCGGUUAUCAACAAUUGUGAUGUUUUGAGAUUAUAACAUACUUGACAACGCCGACUAGCGUUCUCUCCUAUGUGAAUUGGGACAAAAAUUAUUUUCCCAAUCACGCUUUCGUUUGAACAAUUCCACUUCAGAUAUAUAAAAUAAUGAUGAAAUUGUGUUUUAAAAUUAGUUACGAGUAAUUGGUUCAAUAUUAAUACAAAACUAUUUUAAGUAACACGUGGCAUAUUCUAAUUCCAGUGAGCUUCUAACUCAGAUUCCCAAAUCAAAAGAAACGUUUCAAUUUUCUCCAGAACGUUCUGCAAAACAUUUCUUCGAGUCUCUACGUUGUGCUAGAAUUUUCUCUCAGUUUCUUUUCCAUAGACUUCUAAAAAACUGUCCAGAUACCGAGAUAUAAUCCAAUCUAAGUGUACAUAUUGUAAGAAAAACGAUACACAGUGAGAUAACAAUUUAAAUAGUAGCUAAUUUAAACAACAAUGUAAACUAGCAAUGGGAAACAACAAAUGAAGAACUGAAGAGAAAGGAGACCAAAACAGAAAUAUAAACCCGAGGCCUGCGGACAGUUUCCUUAAACAUAUUUACCCCCUCUUGGAGUGCUUUAGGUCAGCUGGUAUCUGUUUCCCAGGAUACAACAGGCACGAAUUUUCGGCUAAGCACAGGCUAGAAAUUCUGGCGAACCACAACAACGAGCUCGAUCAGAGAAAACAGACGACGAAGAUGGAGGAAGGAAAAUAAGUGUGCUGGUUUUUUCAGUGUGCAAAAAAACAGAAGAGGAGAUGCCUUUUUAUAGUCAUAUGAGGAUGUAACAGCUACUUUGUAUUGAAUUUCUGAAUUCAAUAUAUUUUAUUUAAUUGUUAUAACAGCCAAAUCAAUUCAAUGAAUUGAUUUCAAAAUUGAAUUAAAAAAAACGUGAAUUAUAUAACAGCUAAAAAUAAUUGUUGAAGCUGUUACAAAUCCUUUGAAUUCAAACGUGAAACUGUUACAAUAAAAAAAAUUUUAAAAGGAAAUUAAAAACAUGCCAAGCUUGCAUGGAUGAUUUUGGGCUGACAUUCGCGUACGCAGACGAGUUCAACCAAAUUGGUCAUGGAUUUGCACCCCCCUGCACACGCGCACGUGGAGAGAGCCUCUAUCCUUAUAAUUCUUGAACAAGCAUGGUUAAGUGUUUAUAUAUAAACACUAAUCCCUAGGCUUCUUUUUCCCAUGUGGGAUAAGCCUAAUUUCUUUUCAAAUUUCCAACUUCAAAGGUGAACUUUGAGAGACAAUUUCUCAUUCACCCAAGCACCAUUUUGAGAAAAUAAGAUUAUACUUUUGAAGUAUCAAAGGAGUAGAAUCCGAACCUCACAAGAUUUUCCACUUUCGUUAAGUGGGACCCACUCAAAAUAUGCCCUCAAAAUAGCAUCUAUAUAUGCUAUUUUUUCAACAAUCCCCCACAUGAAUGAAAAUUGGCAGUAAAACAAAAAACCGCUAUAUUUUUUUUACAUCAAAACCAUUUUUGACCUUAAUGAUUGAGUUUAUUGGAUUGAUACCUAGCACAUGAUAGGUUGGUGUUAUCCUUUUAACCUUCCCUUGUAAUAGUAUAAUUACUUUACUGGCUGAUCAGUAGACGCGAUGUCUUUGAACUGUGCGGCCGUUAGUGUAAACGAUCAUAUACUACACAUAGGUAUUUCUCCUAACACUGUUGAGUUCUCAUGGUUAUGUUCGUUUUGGCCUUGAACAUCUACCUGGUUCUGCAAGAGUUUCUAAGAGCUAAACCCAUCAUAGCUCCCUUUGAAGCGGCCCCACUUCUCUCUCACAUAGGUGAUAUCUUAAUUAAAAGUAACCCGCAUUACUCCGCUCGAAUUUUCCGACGCAUAAGAAUCAUUAAGAGCCUAGCUCAACCUUAUUCCCCACGAGCAUCAUUGUUUCAUAAUAUGAAUGGUCAAUGAGGUAAUCUUCUCAAGAGAAUAAACCCCACAAUAAUCCAACUUUAGUCUUUAACAAAUAGGUUGUUCAAUUGAACCUAGAUCUUGGGAUCUCCAGUCUACUAGGUUGGGUUUUCCUUCGUUAUUGACUAAUCAAUCUAUGAGUUUUAAUCCCAUUCCCCUCGAUGAUUUUUCUACUAGCUCUCUAUUUAACCCUUUGGUUAGCGAAUCCGCAAUGUUAUCCUUUGACCUCACAUAGUCAAUAGAAAUAACUCCAGUAGAAAUAAGUUGUCUAAUGGUAUUAUGUCUAUGACGUAUGUGUCUAGACUUACCAUUAUACAUAUUGCUUUGUGCCCUACCGAUAGCUGAUUGACUAUCACAAUGUAUACAAAUCGAAGGCACAUGCUUUGGCCACUUUGGAAUACCUUUUAAAAAAUUGCGUAGCCAUUCUGCUUCUUCACCACAUUUAUCUAAUGCAAUGAAUUCAGAUUCCAUUGUAGAUCUAGCAAUUACUGUCUGUUUAGAAGAUCUCCAUGAUACAGCUGCACCUGCUAGUGUAAAUACAUAGCCGCUAGUGGAUUUUGAAUCUUUUACAUCUGAUAUCCAGUUAGCAUCACUAAAUCCUUCUAAUACUUCUGGAUACCUAGUAUAGUGCAGUCCAUAAUUACGAGUGUAUCGAAGAUACCUAAGUACUCUUACGAUAGCUUUCCAGUGAUCAGUUCCUGGAUUACUCGUAUAUCUACUAAGUUUACUUACCGUAUAGGCUAGAUCUGGUCUGGUACAACUUGUUAAGUACAUCGGACUGUCUAUUAUUCUAGCAUAUUCUACUUGAGAAAAACCCUCUUCUCUAUUUUUCGAUAAAUGGAUACUAGUAUCUAAUGGAGUUUUAGACAUAAUAUUAUCAUUUUUAUUAAAUUUUCCAAGAAUUUUAUCUACAUAAUGAUUUUGACUUAGAAUAAGUCCAUUAGAAGCCCUUCAGAUUUUAAUUUCCAAAAUGACAUUUGCAAGACUCAUGUCUUUCAUGUCAAACUUAGACUUCAACAUAUUCUUGGUAGAUUUAAUCAUGUCAUCAUCACUUCCAACAAUGAGCAUGUCAUCAACAUAUAAACAUAAAAUGACAUAGCCAUUUUCCGUUUCUUUGACAUAAACACAUUUGUCACACUCGUUGAUUUUAAAACCACUUGUGAUCAUCAUAUGAUCAAAUUUCUCAUGCCACUGUUUCGGUGCUUGCUGCAAGCCAUAUAAUGACUUUACCAAUUUACAAACUUUCUUUUCUUGUCCUGGAGCUAUAAAACCUUCAAGUUGCUCCAUAUAGAUUUCUUCAUCUAAAUCUCCAUUUAGAAAAGCCGUCUUUACAUCUAUUUGAUGUAUCUCGAGAUUGCGCAAAGCUGCAAUUGCUAUUAUCAUCCGUAUGGAAUUUAUUCUCAUAACAGGAGAAUAAGUAUCAAAGUAAUCAAGGCCUUCUCGUUGCCUAUUACCUUUAAUUACAAGCCUAUCCUUGUAUUUAUUGAUUUAUCCAUCAGCUUUCAUUUUCCUUUUGAAAAUUCACUUAUACCCCAAAGGUUUACAUUCUGGAGGAAGAUCUGCUAGCUCCCAAGUAUGAUUUUGUAAAAUGGAUUCAACUUCACUGUUAAUGGCUUCUUUCCAUAAAGUGCCUUCAGCUGAAGUUACAACCUCUUUGAAGCUUUGAGGUUCACUUUCUAGCAAAUACGUCAGAAAGUCUAGACCAAAAGACUUUUCUAUCCUAGCUGUUUUGCUACGUCUAACCUCAAUUUCUUGUUCUUGAUCUUCUUCUUCUUCUUCUUCUGGUGCUUCAUCAUUUUCUUCAUUUCCAAGUGUUGUUUCAUGAAAUUGUCGCAAUUCUCUCGAUUCCACUCUAGAAUUGCAAGGAAACACAUGUUCGAAUGAUGCAUUUCUUGAUUCUAUUAUCAUAUUUUUGUGGACAUCUGGAACUUUAGACUUAUGUAACAAAAAUCGAUAAGCACUACUGUUUUGUACAUAACCAAUGAAAAUGCAGUCAACAGUUUUUGGUCCUAUUUUCACUUUUUUAUUGAAGGAACCACUACUUUAGUAAGACACCCCCACACUCGUAAGAAUUUAUAUGAAGGUGAUCUAUUUUUCUAUAGCUCAUACAGGGUUUUAUCUUCUUGCUUUCAGGGUAUCUUAUUUAAUAAAUAAUUAGCUGACAAAACAGCUUCUCCCCACAUAUUCUGGGGUAACCCAGAACUUAUCAACAUUGCAUUCAUCAUUUCCUUUAAAGUUCGAUUCUUUCGUUCUGCAAUCCCAUUAGAUUGAGGUGAAUAUGGAGUCGUGACUUGAUGUAUGAUUCCAUUUUGUUCACAUAGUGACAUAAACAUAACAACAUACUCACCACCACGGUCACUCCUUAAUUCUUUGAUUUUUCUAUUAAGUUGAUUCUCAACUUCAUUUUUGUCGAGAAUAAACUUUUUCAAAGCUUUAUCUUUACUUUUCAAUAAAUAUACAUAGCAAUAUUUUGUGCAAUCAUCUAUAAAGGUAAUAAAAUAUUUAUUAUCACCUCUUGUUUGAAUGGAUUUAAAGUGACAAAUAUCAAUAUGUAUUAAAUCAAGUGGUUCGGUGUUUCUGUUAAUUAUUUGGAAAGAUGACCUAGUUAGUUUUGCCUCAACACAAGUUUCACACUUAUGUUUCAAAUCAAUUUGGAAAUUGGGAAUAUGCUUCAUGUUAAUUAAUUUACGCAAAGAUUUAAAAUUAACAUGUCCUAAUCUACCAUGCCAAAGAUUAGAAGACUCAAGCAAAUAAGCAGAAGAAGUAGCUUUAUUAUUAAUUAUUGGUUUCAGAGUCAUUACAUUGAGCUUAAAUAGCCCAUCAUUAACAUAACUCUUUCCCACAUACAUCCCAUUUUUAGACAAAACUACCCUAUCUGACUCAAACACCAUUUGGAAGCCAUGUUUGUUCAACAGCGAUCCAGACACCAAGUUCUUCUGAAUUUCUGGCACAUAAAACACAUUGUUCAGAGUCAGUUCUUUCCCAGACGUCAUCUUCAAAAUCACCUUCCCUUGACCAUCAAUCUCAGACGUAGCCGAAUUCCCCAUGAAUAGCUUCUCUCCAUUGCUAACUGCUUCAACUGAAGUGAACAAUCCUUUGUCCGAGCAAACAUGUCUGGUUGCUCCCGUAUCAAUCCAUCAUUCUCUCGGAUUAUAGCCAACCAGAUUCACUUCUGAAACCACUGUAGAGAGGUUUAUGUCUGAAACAUGUUGAGUGAUGUUUUCCAUCACAUUCUCCUCUCGCUUCUUUUUAGGCAACCUGCAAUAUGAAGCAUUGUGACCCAUCUUAUCACAAUUAAAACAUUUUCCUUGAAACUUUGUUUACUUCUUGGAAAUUCCUCCUUUCGGACCCAUUUUUUUAUUUUUAUUUUUAGGUCCAUGUUCGACAAAAUUUGCCUUUGCCAUAGAAAUAACUCCUUUUCUUUUUGCAUUUCUGUUAUCUCCCUCAAUUCUGAACUUAACAACCAGCCCUUCAAUAUUCAUCUCCUUUCAUUUGUGCUUCAAAUAGCUCUUGAAAUCUUUCUAAGCAGGAGGCAAUUUUUCAAUAAUUGCGGCAACUUGAAAAGUUUCACUUAGAUGCAUCCUUUCUGCAAGGAUUUCAGAUAAUAUAAUUUGAAGCUCUUGUACUUGACUUAUUAUAGUUUUAGAAUCCACCAUUUUAUAAUCUAGGAAGCGACCAACAACAAACUUUUUGGUUCCCGCAUCCUCGGUUUUAUAUUUCCGGUCAAAGGAUACCCAUAACUCCUUGGCUGUUUUCUUUCCUAUGUAUACAUUAUACAAGGAAUCACUAAGGCCAUUCAUUACAUAAUUUUUACAUAAAAAAUCUUAAUGAUGCCAUGCAUCAAUUGCACUUGCAACUUGAAUAUCCGUUUCACCCUCUUUAGGUUUAGGAGCAUUCUCGAUUAAGAAACUUGCAAGGUUCAACAUGGUCAAGUAAAAGAAUAUCUUUUGCUGCCAACGUUUGAAAUUCUGGCCAUUGAAUUUUUCAGGCCCUUCCGCAUGAUUGACAGGAAUUGCCACAGAGGCUGGUUCCUUUACAACAGUUGGUGCAGCAACAGAAGAUGAAACUGGGACAUACGGAAUAUCAUCAAUGGUUUCAGUUGCCAUCUCAAUGAUAAUUGAUUCUGUUUUAAGAUUGUAAAAAAAAUGAUACACAGUGAGAUAAUAAUUUAAAUAGUAGCUAAUUUAAACAACAAUGUAAACUAGCAAUGGGAAACAACAAAUGAAGAACAGAAGAGAAAGGAAACCGAAACAGAAACAGAAACAUAAACCUGAGCCCUGCAGACAGUUUCCUUAAAACAGAUUUACCACUCUUGGAGUGCUUUAGGUCAGCUGGUAUCUGUUUCCCAGAAUACAACGGGCACGAAUUUCCGGCUAAGCACAGGCUGAAAAUUCCGGCGAACCACAACAGCGAGCUCAAUCAGAGAAAACAGACGAUGAAGAUAGAGGAAGGAAAACAAGUGUGCUGGUUUUUUCAGUGUGCAAAAAACAGAAGAGGAGGUGCCUUUUUAUAGUCAUAUGAGGAUGUAACAGCUGCUUUGUAUUAGAUUUCCGAAUUCAAUAUGUUUUACUUAAUUGUUAUAACAACCAAAUCAAUUCAUUGAAUUGAUUUUAAAAUUGAAUUAAAAAAACAUGAAUUAUAUAACAGCUAAAAAUAAUUGUUGAAGCUGUUACAAAUCCUUUGAAUUCAAAACGUGAAUCUAUUACAAUAAAAAAAUUCAAAAGGAAAUUAAAAACGUGCCAAGCUUGCAUGGAUGAUUUUGGGCUGACAUUCGCGUACGCAGACGAGUUCAACCAAAUCGGUCUUGGACUUGCACCCCCCCUGCACACGCACGUGUGGAGAGAGCCUCUAUCCUUAUAAUUCUUGAACAAGCAUGGUUAAGUGUUUAUAUAUAAAUACUAAUCCCUAGGCUUCUUUUUCCCAUGUGGGAUAGGCCUCAUUUCCCUUCAAAUUUCCAACUUCAAAGGUGAACUUUGAGAGACAAUUUCUCAUUCACCCAAGCACCAUUUUGAGAAAAUAAGAUUAUACUUUUGAAGUAUCAAUGGAGUAGAAUCCGAACCUCACAAGAUUUUCCACUUUCGUUAAGUGGGACCCACUCAAAAUAUGCCCUCAAAAUAGCAUAUAUACAUGCUAUUUUCCACUUUCGUUAAGUGGGACCCACUCAAAAUGUGCCCUCAAAAUAGCAUAUAUACAUGCUAUUUUUUCAACACAUAUCUCUCUAUGUCACCUCCCUCCAUUUCACCAGAAAAUCAACAAACACUUAGCUUCAAAACAAACACUCUAAAAAAGCUAGCUAGUUGAUGGCAAAAUCAAGAAUUCUUGCAAUGGCAAUGUUGUUUCUUGUUAUGGCAGCAACAUUGAUGAACAUGGCAUCAAAGCAAAUGCUCUGAUGCUGUACACACGAUCACCUUUCUUUGACGUAAUGUUCCCAAUGACGGAAGAUCCUUUCAGGGUUCUUGGACAAACCCUGUUAACAAUCCCAAAAGGAGCUGAACAUCAUCAAACUCUAGCACUGGCGAGAGCAAACUGAAAUGAGACACCAACAUCACACGUGAUCACACUCGACAUUCCAAGGAUGAAGAAAGACGAUGCGAAGAUAGCAGUUGAAGAGAACAGGGUACUGAGGGUGAGUGGGGAGAGGAAGAGCGAUGAUUAUUAUAAGGAGGAAGUUGAAGGAGAAAAAUGGCACAGAGUUGAGAGACCAUUUGGCAAGGUUUGGAGGCAGUUCAGGAUGCCUAUGAGUGCUGACUUGGAUCAUGUUAAGGCUCAUUUGGAAAAUGGUGUUCUAAGGAUCACAGUGCCAAAACUUGUUGAGGAGAAGAAGAGGCCGCCUAAGGUUAUUAACAUUGAUGAAGAGCCUGGUAAUUCUUCCGAUGAAGAUGUUAAGGCCGCCAAGGCUCAAAUGUAAUUGAUUAAAGAAAGAAGUGUUUGAUUUGCUUGAUGUGCUAUUUGUUUUGUGAUCUUUUCUUGGUUUUGUUGUGGGAUGUUUUUCUUUGGAUGUUCUGUUUAUUGUAUUUUGAUGGAUUUUUAAAGAUGGCUUUUAUGUAUUAACAACAAUAAAGUGUUUUUUAUAAAUCCGGGUCCUAAAUUUGUAAAAGAAAUUAAUAAUACUCUUGGUUUAUUGUUAAUAAAAAUAAAAAAGAAGAAUCUUUUUCUUUAGCAUAUAUUAUGCAUUUUAAGGAAAAAAAAAAUUAUCACAUUCUAAUACAUAAAGAUAUUCCUCUUCUGUCAUAUUAAUGUGUUAAUACGAAGGUCUAUUGGAAUUAUAAUAGUUUAGAUGAAUCCAAAAUAUUCAAUAAUUGAUAAAUAGUAUAUUGACACACAGAAAAUGUGCGUGUGUAUGUAUAUAAAUGAGGUUUCAACAGCUGAGAAAGAGAUAGCCAUUAUACAUUACACAUUUGCACUCAAUAAGAAAUCAAUUCAUUAAUAUAGCCAUUAAUACGCCUGGUUUAUUGUUAAUGAAAAUUAAAAAAGAAAAAAAGUCUUUUCUUUGGCCUUUAUUAUGCAUUUUAAGAGGAAAAAAAAUUUAUCCCACUCCAAUUCAUGAAGAUAUUCUCUUUUCUGUCAUAUUGAUGUGUUAAUAUGAAGAUCCAUUGCAGUUGGUGAAUUCAAAUAUUCAGUAACUGAUGAAAUUGUAUUUAUAAAUUCAUACUAAUAGCAAUUGAAGAUUAUAAUUAAUUUUGUAAUAUGGUCUAGCCCUCCUGUGUUUAAUUAGCACUCAAAAACCACUUUACAAUAGGGCAUUAAAAGAACAUUAUAACGUCAUUGCUGAUGAGUUCUGGCGAAGACAUUAAGUUAAGGCCACAAAAAUCGAAAUGCACGUAGCUUCGUUUGUUUUUUAUUUUUGAUUCUCUUUGGGGGCAAAUGCUUGGCUUCGUUUGCUUUUUCGUUUUUGAUAUUUUAUUGGGCUUUAUUGUGUGGCAUCUUCUUGUUUUCUUUUGAUUUUCUGUUUUGGUUGUUAUGGGAUUUGAUGACGACGUACAUGUACGAAGAUUAUAUAAUAAAAUGUUUUUGAUAAAUUAUGGUCGGUUUAGAAUUAAUUAACUAAAUUUAAUUUACUUGAUCAAUUGAUAUUUGUAAGCAUUGUUGUUAUACAAACACAACAAAAGAAGAACAUUAAUGUACUAAUUAAUUACUAAUAAGAACAUUAAUAACUUUUGCCGAAGAAGAGAAAUAUUACACAUAUGUAACCGUGCAGCAUAUGUAACCGUGCAGCUAAAUAAAAGAAACUGAAGUUUAUUUCAACAGCUAAAGAAUGAGAUACGCAUAAGAAAUUAAUCCAUUAAUUAAUUAAUUAAUUCAUAGUCCCCCGCUGCUAAAAUAAAGCGAGCGUCUUACUCUACCUAACAUUUUUCCUUUUAUUAAUUUAAAAUAGUUUUCAACUGAGAUUUGAAUUUUAAAAUUACACGCUUGAUUUAGAAGAAAAAAAAGUCAAAUAUAUGUAACCGUACCGCGGAAAAGACAAAUAUAAGAAACUGAAGUUUCAACAGCUGAGAAUGAGAAAUUAAUUCAUUAAUUAAUUAAUAGAGUCCUCCUUUGCUAAAUAAUGCGAACCCAUUGUUCUUUUUAUUUCCAAAACCCAUUAAUCACCAACACAUAAUACACGCCCAAUUUAAAAAAAAAACUAAUAAUAAAAUAUUUCAGUCUUCCUUUGUUGAGUCGUCAUUAAAAACCCAUUUACCAGCUAUUCGAGCAUAAGGUAUAUGGGUUAACAAGUCCCAAUAUUGUCCUCCAUCCUUUCUGCACUUCUCUUCUAUCAACGGACAGCGAUAGAUUCUUAAUUGCAAAAGUGAGGAAGGCAGGCCCUUCUCCGGAAAGUAUUUGAGCUUGGGACAAUCAUAGAGUGUCAAUUUAGUGAGGUUUUGAAGAUCAACAAUUGAAGAAGAUAGGCUUUCCAGAUUUGGAAAAAAGGCAAUGCUCAGAGAUGUUAGAGAGGCAGGAAGAGGAAGCGUGGUCCCCAGUCUUCUGUCCUCUGGCUCUGGUGGAAAUGACACCAUGUCGUCAUCGCAUCCUCUGAUUAAAAGAUAUCGCAGAGAGGAGAAUCUGUGAAAUCCCCGGCCCCGCUCAAUCAUUGACUUCCAAAUCCCCAUAUUACCCUCAAUCCUCAGUGAAUGAAGGUUGGUGGGAAGGCCAUCUUCUUCAAGGCUUGGAAGCUCACCUCCUAUUAUUGUUAAUUGUUGAAGAGAGGUCAGAUUGUGCAAUCCCUUGGGUAAGGCCUCUAGUCUCUUACAAUCAUAUAUCUCCAGCCUCCUGAGUUUCGCACAAGGCAAUCCCCCUUUGGGAAAGGACUCCAGAUUUCCACAACCCCCAAUACCAAUCUGUUGAAGCUGGCACAGAUUAUGUAAACCACUCGAUAAAAUUUUCAGAUUUUCACAGUUAGAAAUGUUGAUUGUUUCAAGAGAUGUGUUGUUGUCCAACCUUUCUGCUAUUGACUGCAGCUUUGGACAUCCAUAAACAUCAAGUACCUUAACGGACGGAGGUAGAUUGCCAACUUCAAGGGACUCAAGCGUGGCAGGUAACUCGUUUUUUGAAAAUAUACAUGUCAGAGACGGACAACUGGAAAUUGCUAAGUUCUCAAGAAGAGAUGAGGUGUACCUUCUGCUGCUGCUACUCUGGAUGCCCUCUUCCACUGUCAAAGUCCUUAUUUUAUUGCACCUCUGGAUGUCCAACCUCUUAAGGCUCAGUGGUAGCUGGACUUCAGCAAUAUAUGUCAACGAAUGGCAAUCCCAAAUUUUCAAGAUCUCGAGAGAUGAACUAGUGUCGCACAUCCAUGGCUCUGGUAACGAUUUCAGUGCAUCACAUUCUCUAAUCUCAAUUUUCUUCAACUUGGAAGGCAGAGCAACCUCAGGAAAGGAAACAAGGGAACUGCACUUGUAGAUUUCUAUCUCUUUCAAGGAACUAAGGCUGAGAGAUGAUUGUGGCAGCUUCACAAGGCCUUCGCAAUAUCUCAAUCUUAGAUAUUCGAGUCUGCAUGACAACUCGCAGAGCUGCUGUUGUUGGUCUUUCUCUUCCUCCGCCACCAAGGAUUGAAGUUUGGGACACCCUCUUAUCUCCAGACUUUUGAGAGAGCAAAUGUCUUGUAGUAAUCCGUCAUGACUCUUCCAUAUAUAUGUUUGCUCUUUUGUCGACAAAAUUAAUUCUUCCAAUUUCGGUAGUUGUGGCUUCAACGGCCCCGCAAGAAACACUUGAUUUGAUGUAUCUCUACAAACCACUGAAUUCUGUGAUCCGAGAUGACCAGUUGCACUUUCCCACACAACCUUUUUGCAUCCACCAAUUAAGAAUUUGCAAAGAGUUGGAAGACUCAAAACUGAAACUAACAAUUCUUCACAUCCUUCAAUAACAAGCAUCUCUAAUACAGGAAGGUGUUCUGGAAAUGUUCCUCGCAGUUUAGGACAUUCUAAAAUGUGAAGCUCUCUCAAUUUAGGAAACCCUUCAACCCCUUGACCGGAUCCAUGAGAAAUCCAGACUUCCCAUUCUUGCAGGUCUUCAAAACGAAGAGUCUCCAAGCAUGGAAAUGGAAUUGGAGAGUCAUCCCCAUAGAACUCUGAACCCAAUCUCUUUACUCUACUCACUCCACGCACUGUAAGAUGCUUUAGAGAGGGCAGUUGCCCGACAGACGGCAGGGCAGUACACAUGCCGCAAUCUUCAAAUUCAAGUGUUACUAAAUUUGAGAAUAAGGAAUCUCCUAACCAUGUUGGAAAUUUUGUACCUCCAUAGCCACAGAUACCAAAUUGUUCCAGAUUUUUAUGGGGUUUGAGCAUGUCAAGCACACCCAUUUCAGUUUCUGCCUCCCUUGAAGAUGAACCAUCGGUACUGCGUGUCCAUCGAAGCAAUAAUUCUUUAAGAUUCUUCUUUCCAUCCAACCGAGCCUCCUUCGCAUUACCAACGUCUUUUACGUUCUCCAAUUUUGAAAUUUCAAGUGCCCCACGAAGAUGCAUCAACAACUUUAGCUCUGAUAACCCCGAACCACUGUCUUUUCCCACAACAAAAUUACACAACGUCUGAAGACAAGUCAACUUGCCAAUUCCUAGUGGCGUUUCCUCCAACGAAUCUGUAUUUGAAUUAUUGAGAUGAUGCAAUUUGAUGAGAUUUCCCAUGUCUGCACACAACUUCUUCAGCCGAUCACAAUCUUCCAACAAAAGACUAUGCAAAUUGUAAAGCUUGUUGACUGAUUCAGGCAGAGUUCUAAUAUUAGUUCCAGACAGGUUAAGGUACCUUCAAUACCUCAAAUCACCAACUGAAUCUGGUAGCUCGGAGAUGUGAUAUCCACGCAAAGAGAAGACCCUCAAGCGUUGGAGUUUGAGCAACUUAGGAAGAAUGCUAGGAGCCAAGUAGCCAGGCGAACUCUCUGUCAACAUUACUGGUAAAAAAGUUCUCAAAUGUUGGAUAUCAUACAAGUCCCCAAACCUUUUACCGCCAACAUAAUAUUCAGGAAUAUAUGACAGAUGACGAAGAUAUCGGGAAAAACUUUGUUGCUUGUUAACCUCAGAGGUAUACUCCAUUGUGAAGUAUAUUUCCCCUGCAGCCCAAUGCGCAAGGUCGUUGAUAAGAUCGUGCAUCACAAAUCGUGAUGCAUCGUUGCUUGAUUGCUGGAAAAAGGAUCUUGAAUGUAGCUCCUUAAAGAUUUCAAGACCUAAAUCUUCACCAGUUUUCUCACGCUCUUUGCGAUCCAAGAAGCCCGAGGCACACCAUAACAAAAUUAUCUCCCCCUCUUCAAAUUCAUAAUCCUUUGGAAACAAUGAGCAAUACGCAAAGCAUUGUUUCAAAGGUGCCGAAAGAUAAUAGUAGCUCACUCUAAGCGCCGGCAUAAUGUCACAUCUCUCUUCUUGCAAUUCCCAUAUCUUGGUACUGAGCACUCUCUCCCAAUCACAUCUGUCAUCUUUUCCUCGCAAAAGUCCUCCAAGUGUUUGCGCUGCCAAGGGCAAGCCAUCGCAUUUGGCCACUAUCUUCUUGCCAAUUUCCUCCAAUAAGUUAUCUGACCCCAAAGAAUGUUGAGCAAAUACAGCUAGACAAUCAUCAAUUGACAACUUUUUUAAUUGAUAAGCUGAGGCAGUUCCCAUGAUGUCUGCAACCUCUUGAUUACGAGUUGUGACAAUAAUCUUACUUCCCUUCGCUCCAGCUUCAAACGGACGGCUGAGGCGAACCCAAUCAUUGUAAUUCUCAUUCCAAACGUCGUCUAAAACAAGCAAAAAUUUCUUUUGAGAUAACUUCUUCUUCAGCUCCUCUUGAAGCAAAUUUAAAUCACUGUCAUCAAUAGUCUGCUUGGUAACGGAUCUUAGAAUUGUUUUUGUUAGCCCCUUAACGUCGAAAUCCUCAGAGACACAAGUCCAUGCCUUGAGAUCAAAAUGAUCCCGCACUUGCUUAUCAUUGUAGACAAGCUGAGCAAGAGUAGUUUUGCCCAGCCCGCCCAUACCUAUAAUAGGAAUAACUGCGAAUCCACCAUCGUUGCUUAAAUCAUCCCUCAACAGCAGUUCAACAACAUCCUUCUUUUCUGUUUCCCUGCCAUAUACUUUGGCUUCAGUCACUAAAGAGGUUGUCUCUAGCCUUUGACUGGCUUUUUUGGACCCUCCAGCUGAACUUUCUUUCAAAUCUAGCAAGUUUUUCUGUGUCACAAUUUCUUGAAAUCUGCUGUUGAUCUCUUUGAUUUUGGACAUCAAGCCAUAAUCGAACUGAAUCGAUUGUGGAGUAAAAGUGGUGCAGCAAGUAGGAAUGAGCUUCCGAAACUUACUUGUUCUUGUACGACUGCUACUGGGUUGAUCAUGAGCAGCAGCUGGUUCUCCAUUCCCAAGCAGCAACCUCCUCCGGAAAGCCUCAGUUUGAAACUCAUCCAACAAGUCUUCAACAUCGUAAGCCAAGUUCUGAAGCUUGCCAAGCCACUUCUUCACAAACUGAUUAGUCGUCUUCUUCUCCUCAGCAUCAUCAAGCACCGCCUUGAUCAUCUCCAACAUAUUCUCCCACUUCAUUAGAUCGUCUUGGAUCUUCUCUUGGCGUGCAAAAAACAGAAUCCCCUCUGAAGCUAACUUAUUGACCAGCAAAUCAACGGACGCCGUAAGGAUUGCCUCUCCGAUGAUCGACAUUUUUUUUUCUUUUUUUGGGCAAAGGAAGAAAGGAGCAGAAUUAUGGGUUAUGGAAAGCAGAAUGAGAAUAUUGAACGGGUGAGAAAAUGGAUAAUUAAGCGGAAUGAGUUUGUGAUUGUGAAGGGUCUGGUUCAGCAAGCUUAGUAGAAAUCACGCGUUUGUACUUUAUUGACCAAUGACUAAAUAAUUUGGCAAUGCACCCACCACCACCAGUUGGCGAGCAAAAUGAAAAAGUUUAAUAAGUGCAGGGGUCGAGCAAAAUACGACGUAAAAUGUGGCAAGUCUCCCCACUUGUUGUUCCUUGCAGCUAAGAAAAGAAAAAACAGAGCCCACCACCCAUUAAUAAUUUAGCAAUUCACCAAUCAUCACAAAAUUCCAUUAGAUAUUCGUCGAUCAAGUAGUUAAGUAUUUUUGCUAGAAUGAAUGCAACCAAGAUUCUAUGGGAUAUGUAUGAAGAUGAUGUAAUAAAGUGCUUUUGAUAUAUUCCCCUAGUCGGUUUACUUCACUAACCAUUAACGAGCAAAUCCUCCCAAUGACCCUCAAUACUCUUGUGCACAAUUAAAAUAAUUUCAAUUAUAUAUAUAUAUAAAUAAAAAAACUCUCAAAUAUAUUAUUUGAUAAUCACCAAAAAAAAAAAAAUUCACCCCAAUAAAUCACAUUACAGUCUAUGUUGCAAGUGUUUUUAGGACUAAUUCAAAGAGAAAAUGCGAAGGACAUGUAAUUGAAUUUGGGACACUGAAUAUAUUCCCAAUUACCCUUUAGUGUAAAUAGUUCCACUUCAGAUAUAUAUAAUGAUGAUGAAAUUUUGUUUUCUCAUAGCAAUCAUUCUAGUGUUUUACAAUGAGUAAUUGAUUCAAUAUUAACACAACACUAUUUUAACAUGUGACAUAUUCUAUCAUAGUGUGCUUCAACUCAGACUUCUAAGUUUCCAUUUUAGAACAAGUUAAAACAGUUCCAACUCAAAAUCAGUAGUGCGCAAUUGGGUUGUUAUAAAUAUUUCUAAAUUUUAGUCUAAUUUGAAUUAUUUAAUUGUGUUUGUACAAACUAGCUUUAUCACUUCUUUUAUAUUGAUACCCUUAAAUUUCAACCUUAUUUUAUGUUGAUGCACAAUCUAACUUAACAAAAAUAAUAUUCAAAUUGUCACAAUUUUUUUUUUUAAAAAAAAUAUACAAAGUUAAUUUUUCUUCUUCUUUACUCUAGGAUCCAGCUCCAUACCCCUCUUUUUUGUCGUUAUGCUACUCAGCCGUUAGAUUUUAAUUACGUUAAUCUAAUGGUUGGGAUUUGCAAAUGAAUAAUGAAGUGGUGUUCGGCUACUAUCCGAGGCCAUUGCAUCUAAUUGGUUUUGUGAUUUUUCACUUUCUUCCCUGUAACACUUGACUAGUUCUGGAAAUUGCUUUUUGGCAUGCUAAUUGUUGUGAAAAUUUUAAUAUACUCGCAAGCGCACGAAUCUAGAAAUAAAAUAGUGGUAACGAGGUCGAUCCCACAGGGAUUGGCACCCAUCACGCCUUUAGUUGUCGUGAAUAAAUCGAAAAUCAAAUUGAACUGGUUUUUACCGGGUAGCAACAAUCGUGACGUUUUGAGAUUAUAAUAUAUGACAACACUGAUUAGUGUUGUCUCCCAUGUGAAUUGAGACAAAAAUGAUUUUCCCAAUUGCGCUUUCAUUUGAACAAUUCCACUGUAGAUUUAUAAAAUAAUCACGAAAUUGUGUUUUAUAAUAAGUUACGAGUAAUUGGUUCAAUAUUAAUACAAAACUACUUUAAGUAACACGUGGCAUAUUCUAAUUCUAGCAAAGUUUCCAACUAAGAUUCCCAAAUCAAAAGAAUUUCAAUCUCCAGAACAUUCUACAAAAUGUUUCUUCUAGCCUCUACGUUGUGCUAGAAUUUUCUCUUGAGUUUUUUAGCAAAGACUUCUAAAGAACUAUCCAGAUAUCGAGCUAUAAUCCAGUCAAAGUGUAUAUAUUUCUCUAAUUCACCUCCCUCCAUUUCACCAGAAAACCAACAAACACUUAGCUUCAAACAAACACUUUCAAAUAGCUAGCUAGCUACCCAGAUGGCAAAAUCAAGAAUUCUUGCAAUGACAAUGUUGUUUCUUGUUGUGGCGGCAACAUUGAUGAACAUGGCAUCACAAGCAAAUGCUCUGAUGCCGUACACACGAUCACCUUUCUUUGACAUGAUGUUCCGAAUGACGAAAGAGCCUUUCAGGGUUCUUGAACAAACCCCUUUAACAAUCGCAAAAGGAGCUGAUCAUCAUCAAACUCUAGCCCUGGCGAGAGCAGACUAGAAGGAGAGUGGAUGGAGCCUUUACUUUCUAUUAUAUUUGUAAAGCGUGCCACAACACACGUGAUCACACUCGACAUUCUCGGAAUUAAGAAAGAUGAUGUGAAGAUUGAAGUUGAAUAGAACAGGGUAUUGAGAGUAAGUGGGCAGAGGAAGGCUGAUGAUUAUUAUAAGGAGAGGGUUGAAGGAGAGAAAUGGCACAGAGCUAAGAGAGCAUUUGGCAAGUUUUGGAGGCAGUUUAGGAUGCCAAUGAGUGCUUGACUUGGAUCAUAUUAAGGCUCACUGAGUGCCAAAGCUUGCUGAGGAGAUGAAGAGGCAGCCGAAGGCUAUUAACAUUGAUGAAGAGUCUGGUAAUUCUUCCAAUGAAGAUAUUAAGGCUACCAAGGCUCAAAUGUAAUUGAUUAAAGAAAGAAGUGAUUGCUUUGCUUGAUGUGCUAUUUGUUUAUGAUCUUUUUUUGGUUUUGUUGUGAGAUGUUUCUCUAUGGACGCUUUGUUUAAUGUAUUUUGAUGGGUUUUUUAGGAUGGCUUGUAUGUAUUGACAACAAUAAAGUGCUUUUUAUAAAUCCUAGUCCUACAACACUAAAAGAAAUUAAUACUCUUGGUUUAUAAUUAAUAAAAAUAUAUAUUUUUUUUAAAAGUCUUUUUCUUUGGCAUAUAGUAUGCGUUUUGAGGGGAAAAAAAUUUAUCCCACUCCUAAUUCGUCCUCUUCUGUGAUAUUAAUGUGUUAACACGAAGAUUCAUUGUAAUUGCAACAAUUUUGACGAAUCCAAACGUUCAAUAACUGUUAAAUUGUAUUUAUAAAUACUAAUAGCGAAGGUACAGAAACGAUUAAUUCAAGAAGUUGCUUAAAGUGCAUUAAAUUAGGGAGUAUAAAUAAUUGUGUGAUACAGUCCAGCCUUCAUCUGCUUAUAAUUAGCAACCAAAAACCACUUUGCAACACCAUUAAAAAAACAUUUUAACAUUAUUGCUGAGGGAAGAGGCAACUUAGGCUUAUUAACUCGUAUUAUUAAUGCUGAUGACGCAGCUGGUAAUCCUUUUGGUGAAUAUAUUAAGGCAGCUGAAGCUUAAAAUUAAUUAAGCCCACUAAAGCUUAAAACUAAUUCUUCUAGUGACGAUGCUUUGCUUAGUUCGCUUUUUGUUUUUAAUUUUUUUGGGGCUAACGUUUUGCUUAUUUUGCUUUUAAAAUUCUAUUGGCGUUGCUGUGGAAUAUUGUUUCUCCUUCGAUUUUCUGUUUUUGUUGUUAUCGGAUUUGAUGAUGGUUUAUAUGUACGAAGAUUAUGUAAUAAAGUGCUUUUGUAACAAUAUAUAUAUAUAUAUAUAUAUAGAUGUUUCAACAGCUAAGAAAGAGAUAGCCAUUAUACAUUACACAUUUGUACUCAAUAAGAAAUCAAUUCAUUAAUAUAGCCAUUAAUACGCCUGGUUUAUUGUUAAUGAAAAUUAAAAAAGAAAAAAAAAUCUUUUUCUUUGGCCUUUAGUAUGCAUUUUAAGAGGAAAAAAAAUUUAUCCCACUUCAAUUCAUGAAGAUAUUUUCAUUUCUGUCAUAUUGAUGUGUUAAUAUGAAGAUCCAUUGCAGUUGGUGAAUUCAAAUAUUCAGUAACUGAUGAAAUUAUAUUUAUAAAUUCAUACUAAUAACGAUUGAAGAUUAUAAUUAAUUUUUUAAUAUGGUCCAGCCCUCGUGUGUUUAAUUAGCUCUCAAAAACCACUAAGGUAAAGGCAAAAUCAUGAUAAAUUGUGGUCGGUUUAAUUUACUUGAUCAAUUGAUAUUGGGUAGCAUUGUUCUUAUACAAACACAAUAAAAGAAGAACACUAACGUACUAAUUAAUUACAAAUAAGAACAUUAACAAUUUUGCCGAAGUCUGAUGAAGAGAAAUAUUACACAUAUGUAACCGUACAACUAAAUAAAAGAAACUGAAGUUUAUUUCAACAGCUAAGAAUGAGAUACGCAUAAGAAAUUAAUCUAUUAAUUAAUUAAUUAAUUCAUACAAUUUUCAACUGAGAUUUGAAUUUUAAAAUUACAUACACAAACACACCUGAUUUAAAAGAAAAAAAUUUUAAUAAUAAAAUAUUUUACGUAUGUAACCAUACCGCGGAAAGAACAAAUGUAAGAAACUGAAGUUUCAACAGUUGAGAAUGAGAUAGGCAUAAGAAAUUAAUUAAUUAAUUAAUAGAGUCCUCCUCCUUUGCUAAAUAAUGCGAGCCCAUUGUUCCUUUUAUUUCGAAAACCCAUUAAUCAUCAACACAUACACGCCCAAUUUUAAAAAAAAAAAAUAAUAAUAAUAAAAUAUUUAAGUCGUCCUCUGUUCAAUAAUCAAAAACCCAUUUAAAAUCUAUUUUAACUUUAGGUAUAUGGGUUAACAAGUCCCAAUAUUGUCCUCCAUCUUUUCUGCACUUCUCUGCUAUCAACGGACAUCCCCCGAUGUAUAAUUGCAAAAGUGAGGAAGGCAGGCCCUUCUCCGGAAAGUAUUUGAGCUUGGGACAAUCCUCGAGUUCCAAGUGAGUGAGGUUUUGAAGAUCAACAAUUGAAGAAGAUAGGCGUUCCAGAUUUGGAAAAUUACCAAUCAUCAGGGAUGCUAGACAGGCAGGAAGAGGAAGCGUGGUCCUCAAUCUUAUGUCCUCCGGUGGGAAUGACACCAUGUCGUCAUCGCAUCCGCUGAUUGUAAGUUGUCGCAGAGAGGAGAAUCUGUGGAAUCCCCGACCCCACUCAAUCGUUGACUUCCAAAUCUUCUUAUUAUCAAUAAUCUCCAGCCUAUGAAGGUUGGUGGGAAGGCCAUCAUCUUCUUCAAGGCUUGGAAGCUCACCUCCUUCUCCUAUUGUUAAUUGUUGAAGAGAGGUCAGAUUGUGCAAUCCCUUGGGUAAGACCUGUAGUCUCUUACAAUAAGAUAUCUCUAGCCUCGUGAGUUUCGCACAAGGCAAUCCCCCUUGGGGAAAGGACACCAGAUUUUCACAUUCCCAUAUCCCUAUCUCUUGAAGCUGGCGGAGAUUAUGUAAACCACUCGGUAAAAUUUUCAGAUUUUCACACUCAGAAAUACUGAUUGUUUCAAGAGAUGUGUUGUUGUCCAACCUUUCUGCUAUUGACUCCAGCUCUGAACAACUCCAAACAUCAAGGGACUUAAGAGACGGAGGUAGAUUGCCAACUUCAAGGGACUCAAGCGUGGCAGGUAACUCGUUUUUUGAAAAUAUACACGUCAGUGACGGACACCUGCUAAUAUGCAAGCCCUCGAGAAGAGAUGAGGUGUACCUUCUGCUGCUGCUGCUGCUCUGGAUGCCCUCUUCCACCGUCAAAGUCCUUAUAUUAUCGCAAUGGCGGAUCUCCAACCACUUAAGGCUCGGUGGUAGUUGGACUCCAGCAAUAUAUGUCAACGAAUUGCAAAUCCAAAUCUCCAAGAUCUCGAGAGAUGAAUUGGUGUCGCACAUCCAUGCCUCUGGUAACGAUUUCAGUGCAUCACAUUCUCUAAUCUCAAUUUUCUUCAACUUGGAAGGCAGAGCAACCUCAGGAAAGGAAACAAGGGAACUGCAGCCGUAGAUUUCUAUCUCUCUCAAGGAGCUGAGGCUGAGAGGUGAUUGUGGCAGCUUCACAAGGUCUUGGCAAUCUCUCAAAUCUAUAUAUUCGAGUAUGCACGACAACUGGCAGAGCUGCUGUUGUUGGUCUUUCUCUUCCUCCGCCACCAAGGAUUGAAGUUUGGGACAACUUGUAAUCGUCAGUCUUUUGAGAGAGCAAAUGUCUUGCAGCAAUUCGUUAUGACUCUUCCAUAUAUAUGUCUGCUCUUUCAUAUCAUUUAUCUCCAAUUCUUCCAAUUUUGGUAUUCGCGGCUUCAAUGGCCCUGCGAGAAACACUUGAUUUGAUGUAUCUCUACAAACUACUGAAUUCUGCGAUCCGAGAUGACCAGUUGCACUUUCCCACACAAUCUUUUUGCAUCCACCAAUUAUGAAUUUGCAAAGAGAUGGAAGACUCGAAACUGAAACUAACAAUUCUUCACAUCCUUCAAUAACAAGCAUCUCCAAUGCAGGAAGGUGCUCUGGAAAUGUUCCUUUCAGUUUAGAACAUCUUAAAAUGUGAAGCUCUCUCAAUUUAGGAAACCGUUCAACUCCCUGACUGAAUCCAUGAGGAAUCCAGUCUUCCCAUCCUUGCAUGUCUUCAAAAUGAAGCGUCUCCAAGCAUGGAAAAGGAAUUGGAGUAUCAUUCCCAUAGAACUCUGAACCCAACCUCUUUACACUAGUCAUUCCACAUACUGCAAGAUGCUUUAGAGAGGGUAGUUGGCCGACUGACGGCAGGGUAGGACACAUGCCACAAUAUUCAAAUUUUAAGGUCACCAACUUUAAGAAUGAGGAAUCUCCGAACCAAGUUGGAAAUUUUGCGCCUCCAUAGCCGCUGAUACAAAAUUGUUCCAGAUUUUUAUGGGGUUCUAGCAUGUCAAGCACGUCCUUUUCAGUUUCCGCCUCCCUUGAAGACGAGCCAUCGGUACUGUUUGUCCACCGAAGCAUUAACACUUUAAGGUUCUUCUUUCCAUCCAAUUGAGCCUCCUUUGCAUCACCAACGUCUUUUACGUUCUCCAAUUUUGAAAUGCAAAGUGUCCCACGAAGGUGCGUCAACAACUUUAGCUCUCGUAACCCGGAACCACUGUCUUUUCCUACAACAAAAUUACACAACGUCUGAAGACAAGUCAACUUGCCAAUUCCUAGUGGCAUUUCCUCCAACGACUUCGUAUUUGAAUUCUUAAGAUGAUGCAAUUUGGCGAGGUUUCCCAUGUCUGCACACAACUUCUUCAGCCGAUCACAAUCUUCCAACAAAAGACUAUGCAAAUUGUAAAGCUUGUUGACUGAUUCAGGCAGAGUUCUAAUCUCAGUUCCAGACAGGUUAAGGUACCUUAAAUACCUCAAAGCACCAAUUGAAUCCGGCAGCUCAGGGAUGCGGUAUCCACGCAAAGAGAAGACCCUCAAGCGUUGGAGUUUGAGCAACUUAGGAAGAAUGCUAGGAGCCAAGUAUCCAGACAGUGAGCUAUUUGACAGCAUUACGGGUAAAAAUGUUCGCAAAUGUUGGAUAUCGUACAAGUCCUCAAACCUUUUAACACCAUCGUAAUCUCCACGAAUAUACGACAGAUGACGAAGAUUUCUUGAAAAACUUUGUUGCUUGUCAACCUCUGAGAUAUACUCCAUUCUGAAGUACAUUUCCCCAGCAGCCCAUUGAGCAAGGUCAUUGACGAGGUCGUGCAUCACAAAUCGUGAUAUACUGUUGCUUGAUUGCUGGAAAAAAGAUCUUGCACGUAGUUCUCGAAAGAACUUUCGACCUAGAUCUUCACUAGGAUUCCCGCUCUCUCCGUGAUCCAAGAGACCCACAGCACACCAUAAUAAAAUUAUCUCCUCCUCUUCAAAUUCAUAAUCCUUUGGAAACAAUGAGCAGUAUGCAAAGCAUUGUUUCAAAGGUGCCGAAAGAUAAUAGUAGCUCACUCUAAGCGCAGGUAUAAUGUCACAUCUCUCUUCUGGUAAAUCCCAUAUCUUGCAACUGAGCACAUCUUCCCAAUCACUUCGGUCACGUUUACCACGUAAGAGUCCACCAAGAGUUUUCGCAGCUAAGGGCAAGCCGUUGCAUUUGAUCACUAUAUUCUUGCCAAUGUCCUCCAAUGACUUAUGUGAACUGAAAUCUGUUGUCCCCAAAGAGUGCUGAGCGAACACAGACAGACAGUCCUCAGUUGACAAGCUUUUGAGUUCAUAAGCUUGAUCCAGGCUCAUGAUUUUGGCAACCUCUUCAUUGCGAGUGGUGACAACAAUCUUACUUCCCUGUGCGCCAGCUUGAAAUGAAAGGCUGAGGUGAACCCAAUCAGUGUAAUUCUCAUUCCAAACGUCAUCUAAAACAAGCAAAAAUUUCUUUCCAAAUAGUUGUUUCUUUAGCUCCUCUUGAAGCUUAUUCAAGUCGUGAUUAUCCACAUUCUGG
rnacentral:lncRNA from 1 species